GUCCUUCUCUGUUUUCUUUUUAUCAUAAACCCCCUCCUUCAUCACCUUGCCUACCCGCUAAACCUAUUCGACCCGUCAACGAACAGAUCCACCCUCACCAGCCGCCUGACGUUCGAGCCGCACCAGCCCUAAACCCUUCCACCUCCAGCCGCCAUAACUGUAAUCCCUUUCACCAUCAGCUGCCCCUCCGUUCGAGCCGUCGACGCCCUAAUCCUAUCACCUUCUGGCCGCCCAAAUCCCUUUCGGCUCCUGCCGCCCUCUUUUUGAGGCGCAUGCCAUGGAGUCGUUGGUCUUCGAGUGCCAGGCCAUGGCGGCACAGACCAUGGAGUCACAGGCUAUGAUGGCGCAGGUCUUAGUCUUUAGGCCAUGGAGUCGCAAUCAGGCGUUCAAGAUGCUCUGAGACUUGAGUCAGGUUCGUCCAACAUGCAUGAUGGAUUCAGUACACCAAAAAAAUGAAUAUCCUUCUGACAUCGGUGAGCUGCUCUUUGCUUUGGUUUGUUCUGCUGCCAUAUUGAUAAAUUCAUGUAGUGCCUCGUUGCAGCUGUCCAUCUGUGUACUUGAUUGUGAUGAUAAAUUGAAGCCAGUAAUUGGAACGUCAUUUGGUUCUCUAGAGGAAGUGGAAGAAUUGUACAAGAUAUAUGCUCUUGAGAAUUUUAUUGGCUGCAACAUUCCAGAACAUAUCGAAAUCCAUCCACCAUCCGAUGUUCACUCCCAGUAAAAACAUCAAGAAAUCCAAAGAACUAUUUAAAUCGUGUAAAGGGAAAAAUAGUAAAGUGAGACGAAGGUAGUCAAACAGUCAUAUUGCUAAAGUAUUACAGGUAGGAGAAAGAAUCCAACAGCAUGUUGAGGAGCUUCUACAGUGUUAUUGGCAUGGGAAUUUUGUUAGCUUCUAUAGUGCUAUUGGUAUGUCGAGUAGCUUCAACCAGGUAUGGACUUUUUAACUCUAGCGAGAGUUUUUAGUUGUCACACACUAAUGGCUGAAUUGGGGAAAGUAGUAACUGAAAAUGAGAGUAACCAGCAUCAACAAUAGUUUGCUUUCAAAAUUCAGAAGGAUAGUUCCUUGUUUUGUACAACAUUUUUUAAGUAUAAGAGUUUUAAAAUAGAACAUAGCAGCAUGAAAGGCUUAUUUUUUCCAGAACAUAGUUUAAUAGACUUAAUAAGUUUAAACGACCCAUAAUUCUGGUGCUUUAUUCUAUCUUUUAUCUGUUGGGUCAUUAAAAUCUAUAGACUUUAGCGUCCUAUCUUGUCAUGUAUUAGUGACGUAUGGAAUCAUUUGGAGUCAAUGGGAAGAUUAAUAGCCAAAAAUGUUAGAAGAUCAUGCUUGUUUAGACCUCUAUGUUGUACGGACCAGCAGGUUUGAAAUGAUGUUGUCACUGUUCCUUGUUCUCAACUGUUGUAUUAAGCAAGUACUACCAUGGGGAUGUGGGGUGGGACUAGUCCAAAUGUUGUAGUUACUAGUUACUAGAGUUAGCAAGCAGAGGAAUUGGUAAUGGUGAUGCGUUCUCAACUUCUUAUGUGUGCUUGUCGUUCGAUCGUCCAUCAGUUUUUAGAUGUACAAAACAUAUCACCGCAUUGACGUCCAUGGCUGCGAGUACAGUACAGUGGUCGGCCGGUUCCAAGUUUACAAACAGCAAGCAGUACUAGUGAGUAGGUGACAUUAGCAGUACAAACCCUUAAACCUGCAACUAAGCACGACAGAGAGUAGGGGCGGAGCUCAGGCCCGUUCAUCUCGGUUAGGUGGAAGAAAUGGUCGGCAUAUGUGUUUCUUUCAUGCUUUACUGCAUCCUGCAUUUUUAUUUUGUUGCACUGGCACGACCGCCUGGCACUGGCACCCCCUCGUACUGAUCUGAUGUUGUAAUAGCAAUUAGCAUGCGUUCAGAUUAGUUAAGAUAUGGAGCUGAGCUCGCUGCCAACAAGGUCAAUACUAGCAUCCAUUUUUUUGCAAACUAGGACACAAUCAGGUGAAAAGCUUGAGCUGCAUUCUUUGUCUAUUUAACUUUACUAGUUCUGUUUGUUUCAUGGUAUGCUGUUAUUUACAAGUAAGCCCAGGAGAUUCUUUUAUUGAUGUUAAACAAUUACUUUUGGAUGCUCCUGAAACAUGCUUCUAUGCAUGAUACAAUUUGAUAUUGCAUACUAAAGAUGGGUUAGCUCAUCAGUUAGAAGACUACAAGGAAAUAUCUGAAAUAGCAGAUAUAACUUCUAGUGGAUGUUCACUGGAGAUGGUUGCUAGUAUGUAACAACUUCUAGUUUCUUCUCUAUUGUCAUAUAUACUUAUAUAGUGCUUAUUUUCUGGAGCUAAAGUAAAAGUUCUUUCAGCAACAUACAAUGAGAGGUCUAUUAGGUCACAUCUCCGACGUGUGAAGGGGCUACUAUCUCUGUCUAGUCUUUAUGUUUCCCUAUCAACGUCCUUAGCUCUGCUUCAGGAGUCCGCUCAAGGAAAAUUUGCAGGACUUAUAUAUGUGUUCUCUGUUCACUGAUGCGGCUGGAGCGUCAUGUCAACUGCUCACCCUCCCCCUAACAAAUUAAACUAGACUGAUGAGUGGAGCUUCAUGUUGGGAUGAUCCAUGCACCUUUUAAGUUUUGGAACGUCGUACUCAAAUGUAGCUUGUGUUAGUUGAACCUAUCGUACUUUCUUUUGGAAUUAAAUUAUAUGAUAUUUAAACAUGUUUGAUGUUUAAUACUUGUGUUGGAUGCUUUAUGCUUCAAAUAUAUAUGCAUUAUACAAAAAGUUGUGUA